UACGUAGGGUACGAGCGUUGUCCGGAAUUAUUGGGCGUAAAGGACUUGUAGGCGGUUUGUCGCGUCGGGUGUGAAAUCCACUGGCUUAACUGGUGGCUUGCUUUCGAUACGGGCAGACUGGAGGUAUGCAGGGGAGAACGGAAUUCCUGGUGUAGCGGUGAAAUGCGCAGAUAUCAGGAGGAACACCGGUGGCGAAGGCGGUUCUCUGGGCAUGUCCUGACGCUGAGGAGCGAAAGUGUGGGGAGCGAACAGG
rnacentral:rRNA from 1 species